CAGUUCGGAGCGGUUCUGUGUCAACCUUUCAUUUUGCUCUCCUAUUUGUGUCCACAACUAGAUCUAGAUCACAUAUUUAGAGCUAUUGAUGAAAACCUUUAAAUGAGAGGGAAGAAUCUCCAGCUCAUAUCACACUCCACUGUCUAAUCACUACAUUGAAUUUGGCAUUUUUGCUGGACUAGGGAUAACAUCUAACUUGCAAAGACACACAUGUCGACUGCUGGGGAUAAAUCAAGGUGAUCGGAUCACUCACACUGUCGGACAGCUGGCGCCG